GCGCGGUUAGCGCAGUGGUCUAACGCAUCACUCGAUUUGUGGGUUGAAAUUUGACUCAAAGACCCGGGUUCGAAUCCCGGACCGCGCA